AUCACGUUAAAUGCAUUUAUGGUGAAAUUCAUUAUGAGGGGUGGUGGUCAACUUAAAAAGAAGCCAUUCAAAGCUAUACUAUGUAAUUCAAGUGGACUUCUCUGUAAGAACAUCAGGUUUUACCAGAAAUACCACUUUUACAAAGUUUACAGGGUCUUUCUCAAGGGCACCGCUAAUCUAACAUAUAUUCUUUGUCACAAUCUAGACUCUUCAUAGAAGAUGAAGACUUGCCAUGAUCAAGAAUACCAGCUAUUUGCUGAAGUUCAUCUUUCAAAACGAACAGCAUGGAGUACAGUACUCAUCAGAUGCUGUGAACAGGUGUAGCCCAAAUGCAACAGAUUCAGACUUUGAUGCAGCAAUGGCAGAUCACCUGAAGCACACUGGGGUUGAUGGAUACUUGUUUUAUGGCUGUUUUAACAGUAAUACAAGACUGUUAGGAAAUAAUUUGGUAGUGCCAUAGCUCUGACUUUUAACCAUUAAUGGUGGAACACAUGAAUCACACUCCCGGAAGAGCCGGUGGUCGGGGACCAAGAAAAUGAGUAAACAUUUUGAAAAAAAUGGACUAAAGUAGUGUCAUAUGUUUUUGUAAUACUGUACUUUUGUCAUUUUCAUGUUUGAUUAAUGGCUGCUAAACAUCAAUGUUAAACUCCAUUGCUUUCGAGAUUCUACUAUUUUUAUUUUCUUGUUUGAAUAGUAGCUGUCAAACAAAUGGAAGACCAUUCAAAAAUGUGAUGUUCACUAUAAAAUAUGCUGUGCUAAAUUAAAACACUAAAUUUUGCCUAAAUCCACAAAUAAAGUGUUAUUGUUUGUGAUGUGCA